rnacentral:lncRNA from 1 species
AAACAAGAAGUUUGUUUAUUUAUUGUUUGUUUCCAUAGAAUAAACAAUCAGAGGCAGAGGCAGAGGCAGAGGCAGAGGCAGAGGCAGAGGCAGAGGCAGAGGAGGAGCCGCGAGGAGGAGGGGAGAAGCCGUUGCCGCGGCGACGCGCGGCUCGGGCGGGCGCUGUGCGGUGGCAGUGACGCACGGCUCUGCGCGCGCCCUGGAGACGCGUGAACGCGCGAGCGUCCUCCGGCCGGCCCCUUCCUCGUCGUCCUCGUCGUCCUCGUCGUCCUCGCAAAUGCGGACUCAGAGCAAAGCAGCUCCCUUUGGCACGGGGAGGAGCGCCGCUAACUCGACCACGCUCGCUCCCGUGAGGCGGCUCGCUUGCCGGCGAUCUCCGACGGACGGCUCGCUAGGAG